GAACGGGGAAGAUUAGUUUCCUUCCAGACAGAAAAGAGUGGAAGAGUCUUUCUUGAAGCUGGAAAGUGCUGACCUAGAACUCUUGGACUCCCAUUACCAUCCUGUUUCAACUUCCCGAGUAACUGGGACUACAACUCCAGCCCAACAGCAUGGACCCACAGGCUACUCUAAAUGUGACUUUUAAAAAUGAAACUCAAAGCUUUCUGGUUUUGGAUCCAGAAAAUACAACCUGGGCUGAUGUUGAAGCUAUGGUAAAAGUUUCAUUUGAUCUGAAUACUAUCCAAAUAAAAUACCUGGAUGAGGAAAAUGAGGAGAUAUCCAUCAAUAGUCAAGGAGAAUAUGAAGAAGCACUUAAGAUGACUAACAUUAAGCAAGGAAAUCAACUACAGAUGCAAGUCCAUGAAGGGUAGGUACUAUGCUGCAGAUGAAGCAUUCCCCCAGAAUGUAGUAGAAAAACAAGUGGCUGCCAGAUCAGGGAAGAAGCCAGUUGCACAUUAUUCUUCACUGGCGAGAGUCGUGGGAUCAGAUAUGAAGACCACAGAGGAGCCUACACCGGAGCCAUGUUCUCCUGCUCCUUGUGACACAAACCAGCCUCAAGACAAGCCCCCAGAUUGGUUUACAAGCUACCUGGAGAUGUUCAGAGAACAAGUGGUUAAGGAAACGGUGGAGAAACUUGAACAGAAGUUGCAGGAGAAGCUUGUCCUGCAGAAGCCACCCUUGGGUUCCUCACCCCCAGAAGUCUCAAUGCCUAUUUCAGAGGAAACCCUGUUUCUGCCAGAGAACCAGUUCAGCUAGCAUAUUGCUUGUAGCCACUGCCAAAAGAGGAUCGUCGGUGUGAGCUACUAGUGUAGCCUGUGCCCAUCUUACAACAUUUGUGAAGAUUGUGAAGCUGGACCAUAUGCCCAUGACACUAACCAUGUUUUGCUAAAGUUGCAGAGACCUGUUGUGAUUUCCUCAGAGCCAUUUUUCUACUCAAAGUAUUCCACCCCUCAUCUGCCUACUGCUUUGGAACAAGUCAGGCUCCAAAAACAAGUGGAAAUAACUUCGUGAAAGCAGAAAAGCAAAGGUUGCGGGCUGAGAAGAAGCAGCAGAAGGCAGAGGUCAAGGAGCUUAAAAAGCAGCUUAAACUCCACAGGAAGAUUCAUUUGUGGAAUUCAAUCUAUGGACUUCAGAGUCCCAAGUCCCCUUUGGGCCGACCUGAGAGCUUGCUGCAGUCUAAUACCCUGAUGCUUCCUUUGCAGCCCUGAGCCCCAGUUAUGCCAACACUCAGUGCAGCGCUUGUGGAUGAGAAUUUGCCUGAUGGGACUCAUCUUCAGCCAGGAACCAAAUUUAUCAAACACUGGAGGAUGAAGAACACAGGGAAUGUAGAGUGGAACACAGAUACAAAGCUCAAGUUCAUGUGGGGAAACUUGACUCUGGCUUCUCCAGAGAAGGAUGUUGUGGUUCCCUGCUUGAAGGCUAGCCACGUCAGGGUCGUGUCUGUGCAGUUCAUCGCUCCAACCUUGGAGGGGACAUACACUUCCCAUUGGCGUCUCUCUCACAAAGGCCAGCAGUAUGGGCCUCGGGUCUGGUGCAGUAUCAUAGUGGAUCCUUUUCCUUCCUCUGAGAGCCCUGAUAACAUUGAAAGGGACGGGAUUAGCUCAAGCAAAGCUGAUGAUUUCACCUGUGAGCAGGAGGAAGCUUUUCUUCUAGCUGAAAAAGAGAUUCCACUGAGUGAGGUGACAAAGGAGACAGAAGGGACAGGAGCCAGUGCACCACAGAAGACCCAGCAUGCUGCCAGUGAGGGGGGCUCUACAUUCCAUCUGUGGACCUUCUGACUGCCUAGGACCUGCUGUCCUUUGAGCUGCUGGAUAUAAACAUUGUCCAAGAAUUGGAGAGAGUGCCACACAACACCCCUGUGGAUUCCACUGUAUCAGCAAAGAGGAAGGCUGAGACCCCUGCUUCCAUUGAAGAAACAGAGGAAGACCUGAGUGGGACCCAAUUGGUGUGUGAGACUGUAAUCCGAUCCCUUACCUUGGAUGCUGCUCCAGACCACAACCCUCUGUGCAGGCAGAAGUCCCCACAGAGGGAAUUGCAGCUAUACUCCACAGAGGAGCAGCAGCCAUUUGUGCUGCCUGGAUUCUGCAGAAAGGAUUCUUCCUUGAAAUUUGCCUUGCCUGAAGAAGGACCACGUGGAGAUGAGAGGGAGGAGAUUGUCCACGUUGUUGAGGAAAAAGUCGUUGAGGAAGAGGAGGAAGUCCAAGAUGAAGAAGUUCAAAGUCAGUCUUCUGCUUCCUCUGAAGAUUAUAUCAUCAUCCUGCCUGAGUGCUUUGAUACCAGCUGCCCCCUUGGGGACUCCAUGUACAGCUCUGCGCUCUCCCAGCCAGGCCUGGAGCGAGGGGCUGAAGGCGAACCUGGGAUGGAGUCUGGGCAGGAACCUGCUGAGGCUAGAGAGAGAUUCCGAGAGAGGGAGAGCCAAGCCAUGGAAGCAGAGCAUCAGCGACAUCCUCACGACCUCAUAGCCUCUGGACACGGGUGCCUCUAGUCCCUGAGGUGGCAGGACUUCCAGCAGCACUGUCCAAGAGCGCCCCUUGUGGACAGUACGAGUCAUCAGGCGUGGAUUCACCAGUUACCAUCCAGGAAGUUCCCCCAGUCCCUGAUCAGAGGAGAGCACAGAGGCUCAACAGGACUGGCAAACAGCAGACAGAGGAGCUGUGACCACUCAAGGCACCACAAUGGGAGCAGCAUUGCUGGAGGACUGGUGAAGGGGGCUUUGUCUGUUGCUGCCUCUGCAUACAAGGCCCUGUUUUCUGGGCCACCAGUCACUGCACUGGCCAUCGCUUCUGAAGAUCAGACCGCAGCCCUGAUGCCCCUUCUCUUUGAAAUGGGAUUCUGCGACAGGCAGCUGAACCUAAGGCUGCUGAGAAAACACAAUUACAAUACCCUGCAGGUUGUGACAGAGCUCCUUCAAGUGAAUAACAACGACUGGUACAGCCACCGCUAUUGAGGACUGACCUUGUAGUG